GAUCCUGGCUUAGGAUGAACGCUAGCUACAGGCUUAACACAUGCAAGUCGAGGGGCAGCAUGGGAUUAGCUUGCUAAUCUUGAUGGCGACCGGCGCACGGGUGAGUAACGCGUAUCCAACCUUCCCCCUACUCAGGCAUAGCCCGGUGAAAACCGGAUUAACUCCUGAUAGUUUCACUAGAUGGCAUCUGACGGUGAAUAAAGCUUUGCGGUAAGGGAUGGGGAUGCGUCUGAUUAGCUUGUUGGCGGGGUAACGGCCCACCAAGGCGACGAUCAGUAGGGGUUCUGAGAGGAAGGUCCCCCACAUUGGAACUGAGACACGGUCCAAACUCCUACGGGAGGCAGCAGUGAGGAAUAUUGGUCAAUGGGCGCGAGCCUGAACCAGCCAAGUAGCGUGCAGGAAGACGGCCCUAUGGGUUGUAAACUGCUUUUGUAUGGGAAUAAAGUCAGGGACGUGUCCCUGUUUGCAUGUACCAUAAGAAUAAGGACCGGCUAAUUCCGUGCCAGCAGCGGC
rnacentral:rRNA from 1 species